ensembl:ncRNA T02E9.25 ncRNA
AUCUUGAUCAAAAACAAAUCCCGAAUAUUGGCGAAUAUUGCAUAUAUACGUCUCUUAAUUCAUCGUCAACGUUAGCGAGAUAAGAGAGCGGGAUUGCGCAGGUGAAGCCGUCGACAGCAUCAUCGGGUUCUUUUUC